GCAAAAUAGUCCAUACGGUUUAAAGGUACUGUUUACACGUGAACUGAUGUAUUGUUAAACAAAUUCGCAACGUUGAAAAGUUUAUUAUUAUGAGUUCAAUAAAAGAUGAAACUCAAGUUUGAUCAUAGAGGAACUUCAUCUGCA